rnacentral:rRNA from 1 species
UACGUAGGCGGCAAGCGUUGUCCGGAAUUAUUGGGCGUAAAGCGCGCGCAGGUGGUUCUUUAAGUCUGAUGUGAAAGCCCACGGCUCAACCGUGGAGGGUCAUUGGAAACUGGGGAACUUGAGUGCAGAAGAGGAAAGUGGAAUUCCAAGUGUAGCGGUGAAAUGCGUAGAGAUUUGGAGGAACACCAGUGGCGAAGGCGACUUUCUGGUCUGUAACUGACACUGAGGCGCGAAAGCGUGGGGAGCAAACAGG